rnacentral:tRNA from 1 species
CCUCCUUAAAGAGAUCAUCGGAAUUAUCAGGUGAGUGCUCACGCGUAAAAACUAAUUAUUUGUAAAAGGCAUCUGGGUCUGUAGCUCAGUUGGUUAGAGCGCACCCCUGAUAAGGGUGAGGUCGGUGGUUCAAAUCCACCCAGACCCACCAGUUUUGGGUUGCUCUGAUUGAGUCUGGUCGGGAAUUGGGGCUAUAGCUCAGCUGGGAGAGCGCCUGCCUUGCACGCAGGAGGUCAGCGGUUCGAUCCCGCUUAGCUCCACCAUUAUUCGAUAAUGGGGCGCUGGGACUAAUCGAGAGAGAGAAAUCAGAACUAAGCGAUUCGAGUGAAUAGUUUANUUCUGGUUUUUACUGGACGGCAUCGGGGACGANCCAUGUCGUAAAUCUUUAACAAGUUAAUUGAAUCUGUAAUUGUUCAUUGAACAAUGAAAAAAUCUGUCCUUAAUUGGGCAGUGAAUGAAAAAUGUCAAGCGUAAUACUCAUCAAGCGUUAAAUUAAGGUUAGUAUUGAUUGACCUGGAACAGGAAAAUGUUUUGGGUUUUUAUUCAACCACUAACCUUU